rnacentral:tRNA from 1 species
GCCCGGGUAGUAUAGUCCGGUCUAGUAUGGGGGACUGUCACUCCUUCGACCCGGGUUCGAAAUUCGGAUUGGGCGAUAUUAAGAAUAGCCCAUCGAACGAACAUCCCGGCCCGGGCG